GACAGAGGAUGCAAGCGUUAUCCGGAAUGAUUGGGCGUAAAGCGUCUGUAGGUGGCUUUUUAAGUCCGCCGUCAAAUCCCAGGGCUCAACCCUGGACAGGCGGUGGAAACUACCAAGCUGGAGUACGGUAGGGGCAGGAGGGAAUUUCCAGUGAAGUGGUGAAAUGCGUAGAUAUUGGAAAGACCACCAAUGGCGAAGGCACUCUACUGGGCCACUACUGACACUGAGAGACGAAAGCUAGGGGAGCAAAUGGG
rnacentral:rRNA from 1 species